UACAGAGGUCUCAAGCGUUGUUCGGAUUCAUUGGGCGUAAAGGGUGUGUAGGUGGCGCCGUAAGUCGGAUGUGAAAUCUCGGAGCUCAACUCCGAAAUGGCAUUGGAAACUACCUUGCUCGAGGGUUGGAGGGGGGACUGGAAUACUUGGUGUAGCAGUGAAAUGCGUAGAUAUCAAGUGGAACACCAGUGGCGAAGGCGAGUCCCUGGACAACUCCUGACACUGAGGCACGAAAGCUAGGGGAGCAAACAGG
rnacentral:rRNA from 1 species